UGUUCACCACAAAGAUCGAUCUUCUUGAUCUCAGAAGCUUAUGAUUGGGAUGCUGCAAAGGAAAUCUCAGGGGAAAAUUUGAAGAAAGCAGAGGAAGUUGGUACAAACAAAUAGAAUUCUGUUAAAAUAGUGUUGUCUGCAGCAAGUUUGACGAUGACAGGGAGGCUAGAGAAGUACUUUCCGCAGAAUUCGAGCCUGACGUGUUUGUACAAUUUGCGGUCAUCCAAUGUGAUGCCAUUUUCUGGAAAGAAGAGAAGUUGUUGCUCUCUGUUUCAGAGUUAGAGAAGAGAGGAUUUUCCUGUUGGAUAUCAUUUGGUAACACUGAGAAUAUUCCAUCAAGACCUAUGGAAGCUAUGAAUUGCAACUCUAUUGACUUACUAUUAAGGAAGAAUAUAAAAAGCAUGAAGAGGCUUCGUAACAGAGGAAAUGAUCAGGCCGAUGAAUCAAGCAAAUAUAACAGAGGAAAACAGAGACUAUAUCUGUUUUUAUUUAACCAUCAAUUUUCAUGGGAAAAUCGACAACAAAAACAGUCUGCCUGUAAACUGUCCAAAUAUAGCCUGUGGUCGAGGGGAUUCUCUAAUGGAAGUGUCUGGAAAGUAAAGCAUGAAGAGGCUUCGUAAGUAUACAUAAAAGAGUAGAACCGACACAUCAAAGGUAAGUAUAUUGUAGACGUUAACAAAAAUAGACAAAAUGCAACAUCGAUGUGUAUUAUGAGGCAAUUACCAUUGGAACUCCAAGCGGUAUUGUUUUGUAGCUGAUUGGAGGAUCUUAAAAUCUUUCAAGAAAUAAUGCCAACACAUUUUAUUACUAUGCUUA